AAUAUUUGCAAAUAUUUCCCCUUAAGUUCUUAAGUUUUCAGUCAUUAAGAAAGAAAGAAAGAAAGAAAGAAAGAAGGGAGGGAGGAAAGAAGGGAAGAAAGAAAAUGUUAAAGGUACCAAGGACAUUCUGAGCUUACAGCUGGUUUCAGCAAUUUUCACUUACGCAAGACCCCAUGUUUGUGAAAACAACCCAAGAAUCUUUAAGCAGGAUGUAAUCAACCUCUGAGCUUCUGAGAAACACUGCAAAAAUGACUUCAGCUGCCCAAAAUAAUAAUGUCCUUUACAAGCAGCUCUUCCUAUAUCUAAGGAAGAGCUAACCACAUGUGAGUUUUUGCUGGCUUCUGGGGAACAAGCAAAGAAAAUGACAAAUCCCAUCUACUCCACCCUAAAAUAUACAGUAAGCACCAGAAUCCUGCCGGAAGCUGUGAACCAUUCCAAAAGGUGCUGGAAGUAUCACAGAAGACUUAUAUCCAGAAUAAUUCUGAAUGGAAAAGGAAGCAAAGAGUCGAAGUACUAAAAAUCUCUGAGAAUGGAGAGGCGGAUUCUGAUAUAAACAGCUUCUCAGUUAGGAGCAAGUGCCAAGCCUGAAAUUGCAGGAAAAAGGGACAUGGAUGGGGACAAAGGCUUAUGAGGAAAGACAGAUGAAACAGAUGAACAGAAAGAACUUCAGUUCUUCCCAGUGUCAUUUAGUAGCUCGAGCAACCCUGAGAUGAAUGAAAUAAAAAUAUUCAGAAAAUAACUCCUGGAUUUCAAUGAGAGAAAACUUUACCAGUUCACAGCAGGAAAUACAUUUUGCCUCACCAUCCAUGAAGACUCUUCACCUGAAUGAGAUCCUGUUACUAGAUCACAGCCAAUUGUUGACCACACCCUGGUUGCAUUUGAUGACCAAGGAGGGUACCUUCCUGGCAACCACAGAGACAGCUCAUCAGGAUGAUAGUGAUCUUAUGCCCACUGGAGCUAAAGAUGAGUCUUUUCCCAGUUUCAUCAAAUGGUUGGAUCCCAGUGGCUGGUGUCCCCACCCUUCUGCAAGUCGCCACACCCUGACUCACCUUGGUGCCUUCUCUGCAAUCUUCCUCUACUCCAGGACACCUGACCUCUGCCCUGAGAGCAUUCUUUAAAUCUGGGCUCAAGUAUCACAUCCUCUUCUCAUCUUUCAUUCCUAGGCUCUGGACCCCUGACUCCACUUUGUUUCUUUUGGAUCACACCAGCACGAGGAGGUGCGCCUCCCCCUCACAGAAGAGGCCCACCAAUGGGCUCUGAGCUCUGGUGGAGGGAAUGCUCUCUGGUGUCCAGGCUGGGGUUGGCGUGGAGUGCAUCCCCGGCCUUCUUUUGAUUAGCAUAGGUCUUGUUCUCUGGGACUUUCAUUUGAAAAAGUACCCAAACCAACUGGAGAUAAAUAAAAAUAAUUUAAUGAGUUUUCACUUAUAAAUAUGUUUGUGAAAAGCUACCCAGAGUGGAGGUAAAAAAAAUAGCACUUGUGAAAAUGUUUAGGCUAAAAUAUUUACACUUUUUAAUUAAAAAUGUAAUUUAGAAAUUUUUAAAGUACAACUUGCUUUGAACUUACGGUUAUAUCAGCACCUGCAGUGGGAGGAUUUACAGUAAAAAUUAUGAUGCCCAAUAAAAGAGUCAGCUGAAGCUGCCAACAGUUUUACAUUCUUUAACUAUAAAAUGAAAUAGGGGGGAAGGUUGUACUCAUUUUAUACACUAGAAAUAAAAAGAAUUAUUGAAAGAAUUUUAUCUAUAAAAUGAUUGAUGAAUGUAUCAUUUUAUGUUUAUCAACAUAAUGUAACUAGCUUUCUGUCAAUAAUGUAUCAGUAAUUGGACACUUUUCAUUUUUAACACAUUUUCACUUUCAGAUUUGUAUAAAAAUGGUACAAAAUAUAAAAUCAAAAGUGGUGUAUACCUGUAAUCCCAGGACUCUGGGAAGCUAAGUAAGGAGAAUCACAAGUUUGAGAGCAGUCUGAACAAUUCAGGGACUUAGGGACUUAUCUCAAAAUGCAAACAUUAAAAAAUAUGGUUGGGGAUGUAGCUCAGGGUGAAGGCCUUGGGACCCAUUCUCAGUACUGAAAAAGCAAAAAACAAACCAGCCUCUGAAAUAUGGUUUCCUGGGCCUAACAUCCUGCUUCCUCCUCUGACCAAAUCUUAGGACUUAAAUAGUUUUUAAAAUUGCCCGUGCCUCAGUUUCCCCCUCUGUAAAAUGAAGUUAGUAACAACAUGUGUCUCUCAGGGUUACAAAUUAAGCAACUAAGUCAGUGCUGGUUGUUAUCUUUAUCAUUAUUACUUUUAUUUGUUUGUUUGUUUUGGUAUGGGGAUUUAACUCAGGACCUUGCACUUGCAAGGCACACUGCCACUGAGCUAAAUCCCCAGCCCUCAUUAUUACUUUUAAAAAUUUUUUCAUUUAGGUGACACAAUAAUGUAACUAACCUAAAAUCACUGAAAAUUCUUGAUGAAGCCAAUGUGUACUAAAAAACAGAAAAAAAAGCUUCUUUUUGUUUACAAUUUUUUUCUCUUUAUUACUAAAUGAAAUGGCAGUUGCCUUUUAUAACUGCAAUUGAAAUUUGCUGGCUUUAUAUUUUAGUUCACAAAUCUAAGGUUUUCAACACCUAAAUGGCUAAUAUUUUAAAAUUGAGGACUCUUGUCUUUAAUUAAUGUUCAAAGUAUGAACAGAAUUAUUGUUAUAUUGUUUUAUUUUCUAUUCCUUUGUAAACAGAGAUGACAUUUGUGACUUAGAUUACAUUCCUUAGAUAAAAACUUUAUAGAGGAGAUACAGAUAGUAGGGGAAUAUAAUAGAAAUUAUCUAUAAAUCUAUAGUAAAAUAUAGUAUUUUUAAUCCUAGGAUUUCCAGAUCACCUGUAUCUGUUUAUAAUAAAUCUAAUUUUUAACUGAAAUUUAUGAUAUCUUCCACAAUACAAAUUGAAACACUUCUCACUUGAACAUCUGGUAGAGUGUUCAUCUCAAAGUUAAUUCAAGAUUCACACAUUUCAUCAAUAUGAUAUUUGUAAGCACAAAAAUAUAGCCCCUAAAUAUAGAAUAUA